rnacentral:rRNA from 1 species
UACGUAGGCAGCGAGCGUUUGUUCGGAAUUACUGGGCGUAAAGAGUGUGUAGGCGGUGCUCUAAGUUUGGUGUGAAAUCUCCCGGCUUAACUGGGAGGGUGCGCCGAAAACUGGAAUGCUUGAACAUGGGAGAGGAAAGCGGAAUUCCUGGUGUAGCGGUGAAAUGCGUAGAUAUCAGGAGGAACACCUGCGGUGUAGACGGCUUUCUGGACCAUUGUUGACGCUGAGACACGAAAGCGUGGGUAGCAAACAGG